CCCUUAGAUGUUCUGGGCCGCACGCGCGCUACACUGACGAUGGCAACGAGUUUUUCCUUCGCCGAAAGGUGUGGGUAAUCUUUUGAAACAUCGUCGUGCUGGGGAUAGAUCAUUGCAAUUUUUGAUCUUGAACGAGGAAUUCCUAGUAAGCGCGAGUCAUAAGCUCGCGUUGAUUACGUCCCUGCCCUUUGUACACACCGCCCGUCGCUACUACCGAUUGAAUGGUUUAGUGAGGACUCCUGAUUGGCGCCGCCGCCCCGGCAACGGAGCAGCGGACUGCCGAAAAGUUGUUCAAACUUGAUCAUUUAGAGGAAGUAAAAGUCGUAACA
rnacentral:rRNA from 1 species